rnacentral:sRNA from 3 species
GUUUGCACUUGUCGGGGAAGGGUGAGAACCUUCGAUUAAGGUUCGACUCGAGCGAAAGCGAGAGAACGUUGCCAACGGCAACGGCCCGUAGGGUGAGGAGCGAA